rnacentral:rRNA from 1 species
AGAGUUUGAUCCUGGCUCAGAGCGAACGUUAGCGGGAGGCUUAACACAUGCAAGUCGAGCGAGAAAGUCACUUCGGUGGCGAGUACAGCGGCGGACGGGUGAGUAACACGUGGAUAAUCUGCCCUUUGGCGGGGGACAACAGCUCGAAAGGGUUGCUAAUACCGUUUACAGGCCUUGGCUUGUAGAGGGAAAGAUGGCCUCUUCUUGAAAGCUAUCACCGAAGGAUGAGUCCGCGUAGCAUCAGCUUGUUGGUGGGGUAAUGGCCUACCAAGGCUAAGACGCUUAGCUGGUCUGAGAGGAUGAUCAGCCACACUGGGACUGAGAUACGGCCCAGACUCCUACGGGAGGCAGCAGUGGGGAAUAUUAGACAAUGGGGGCAACCCUGAUCUAGCCAUCCCGCGUGAGUGAUGAAGGCCCUUGGGUCGUAAAGCACUGUGGGGAGAGACGAAAAAGCGCAGCAGGAAAUGGCUGCGCCUUGACGGUACCUCCUUAGCAAGCACCGGCUAACUCUGUGCCAGCAGCCGCGGUAAUACAGAGGGUGCGAACGUUGCUCGGAUUUACUGGGCGUAAAGCGCGUGUAGGCGGACUCGCAAGUCGGUUGUGAAAUCCCUGGGCUCAACCUAGGAACUGCAUCCGAAACUGCUUGUCUUGAGUAAUGGAGAGGGUGGCGGAAUUCCCGGUGUAGAGGUGAAAUUCGUAGAUAUCGGGAGGAACAUCAGUGGCGAAGGCGGCCACCUGGACAUUUACUGACCGCUGAGACGCGAAAGCGUGGGGAGCAAACAGGAUUAGAUACCCUGGUAGUCCACGCCGUAAACGAUGAGAACUAGGUGCAGCGGAUAUUGACCUCUGCUGUGCCGUAGCUAACGCGUUAAGUUCUCCGCCUGGGGAGUACGGCCGCAAGGCUAAAACUCAAAGGAAUUGACGGGGGCCCGCACAAGCAGUGGAGCAUGUGGUUUAAUUCGAAGCAACGCGCAGAACCUUACCAGGGCUAGACAAACUAAGAACCCGAAUGAAAGUUUGGAGUGCUCGCAAGAGAGCCGCUGUACAGGUGCUGCAUGGCUGUCGUCAGCUCGUGUCGUGAGAUGUUGGGUUAACUCCCGCAACGAGCGCAACUCUUGCCUUUAGUUGCCAUCCUUAAGUUGGGCACUCUAGAGGGGACUGCCGGUGUCAAACCGGAGGAAGGUGGGGAUGACGUCAAGUCCUCAUGGCCUUUAUGUCCAGGGCUACACACGUACUACAAUGGUCGGUACAAAGGGCAGCUACUUAGCGAUAAGAUGCUAAUCCCAUAAAACCGGUCUCAGUCCGGAUUGGAGUCUGCAACUCGACUCCAUGAAGUUGGAAUCGCUAGUAAUCGUAGAUCAGCAUGCUACGGUGAAUACGUUCCCGGGCCUUGUACACACCGCCCGUCACACCACGGGAGUCUGUUGUUCCAGAAGUAGUUAAGCUAACCCGCAAGGGAGGCAGGCUACCAAGGAAUGGCUGGUAACUGGGGUGAAGUCGUAACAAGG